GCCGUUGGCAUUUCUGGUUUGGCAAAACCCAAGCAGUAGCAGAUCAUAAUUCACCGUCGAAGCUCAGGUACUUUGAGCUCCUGAACUGAUCAGGGUCAAGAAGAACGCACAGAGAAUAUGAUUUUAGGCGGAAUAGAGGACGAAGACAAAUGGCUUGCCGAAGGAAUUGCCGCCAUUCAACACAACGCCUUCUACAUGCAUCGCGCUUUGGAUGCUAACAAUCUUAGAGAAGCUCUCAAAUACUCUGCUCAGAUGCUGUCGGAGCUCCGAACUUCGAAACUCUCCCCUCACAAAUACUACGAACUAUAUAUGAGAGCUUUCGAUGAAUUGAGAAGGCUGGAAAUAUUCUUUAAGGACGAGAGCAGACAUGGCGUUUCGGUCGUUGAUUUAUAUGAGCUCGUGCAGCAUGCUGGAAAUAUAUUACCUAGACUGUAUCUGCUGUGUACGGUAGGAUCAGUGUAUAUCAAAUCGAAAGAGGCUCCAGCCAAGGAUGUGCUUAAGGAUCUUGUGGAAAUGUGUCGCGGGGUUCAGCAUCCAAUUCGUGGACUAUUUCUCAGAAGUUACCUUGCUCAAGUUAGUAGAGAUAAAUUGCCAGAUAUUGGUUCUGAUUAUGAAGGGUCGGUAUACGCUGGUUGUUCACAUUUAUAUCAUUUUAAUUCAUAUACGCCGUUUGUCACAGACCGUAGAUAAGCGCAAACUACUUAGGCGGCGGAGUAAAGAGUAUUUCCUUUUUUUUUUCGUUGCCCAGUGGAGUUGUUAAAAUCAGGGAUCGACAGCUUCAAUUAGAUGCUGACACAGCCAUGGAUGAUGUAGAAUUUGUGCUACAAAAUUUCACUGAGAUGAAUAAACUUUGGGUUCAGAUGCAGUAUCAGGUUUGUCGUAUACCAGUGAGCCCAUGUUACUAUGUUUUUGACAUGCAUAGCAAGACGGUACUUGCAUGCCAUACAGGUAAACAAAUCAUGAAAGCAUAAUUUUUGGCCAGGCCGGUGAUUUGGUGCUUCUGAUCAUUUAUACUCUUUGGUGAUCCUCAGUUGAGGUCUUCAAUUGGGCUUUCUGGUCUGCAGGGGCCUGGUCAGGUUAACUGUAAAGAUGAGAUUGCACAGUAUUAUUUGAUGGACUGCAUAAUUCAGGUUUUUCCAGAUGAGUACCACUUGCUGACUCUUGAUGCAUUAUUAGGGGCUUGCCCUCAGCUUCAGGCUAAUUAAUUGCUUAUAAAUACUACCAGGUUUUCCCAUGAGCUGUUUAUGGCUGCCAAUUUCAGCCACCCUCCCAUGUUGUAGCACAGCAAUGCUAUCUGCAUCACGAAUGGUGGACAAUCUGUGGGCUACCAUAACUGUUGUUCGUCCUUCCAUAAGCUUAUCCAAAGCCUCUUGAACCAGCUUCUCUGAUGCAGUAUCCAAUGCGCUAGUAGCUUCAUCCAAUAGAAGAAUGGAAGGGUCCUUCAGUAUUGCUCUAGCAAUAGCCACUCUUUGUUUCUGCCCCCCAGAUAAUUGCAGUCCCCUAUCACCCACAUGAGUCUUGUACCCUUCAGGCAUUGUGCUGAUGAAUCCAUGAGCAUUUGCUGCUUUGGCUGCUUUCAUUAUCUCAAUUUCUGAGGCAUUUUCGUUUCCAUACUUGAUAUUUUCAUAAAUAGUUGUGGAGAACAGUGCUGGCUCCUGCUGAACCAGACCUAUUUUUAACCUCAGUGAUUUCAAAUUCAAGGUUUUAAUAUCACAUCCAUCAAUCAGGACUGUCCCAGAAAUGGGGUCAUAGAAUCUCAGUAUCAGGGAAAUUAUAGUGCUCUUCCCCGAACCACUUGGGCCUACCACAGCCAGACUUUUGCCUGCUGGAACUUUGAGGUUUAAAAGCUCAAAAAUGGUGAUAUCAAGCCUGGCAGGGUACUUGAAAUUCACAUUUCUGAAUUCUAUAUCCCCUUUGAUAUCAGUUACCACCUUCGAUGAGAGAUCGUUAGUGUCGAUAGCAGUUUUCCUGUGGAGAACAUUGAAAACGGAUCCAAGUGCUUGUGAACCCUUCACAAUGUCUGGUGUAAGAGCAAGCGUUUCUGCUAUAGCCAAUGCAGUGAUUAUCAAAACCAUGAAGGACUUUAUGAUAUGUCCAAAAUUGGAUUCUUUGUGUCUGAUUAGGACUGAUGCAUACCAAAGGCCGAGCGCAUAGGAACCAAAAGCGAAUAACUGGGUAAGGCCAUAGCCAAAACCCGAAAUAUGUCCCCUUAAAAGUGCUUGCUUGUUUGGUUUGUUGAGUUCAGAGGCAAAUUGAACAGAGAUUCUUUCUUCAGCCCCAAAUGCAGCAACAGUACGAAUAUUGGUGAGCGCUUCACGUGCCACUGCAGUUGCUCUAGAAUACGCAUGGUAGUCUCCUCCAAACCCCUUGAGAAAUAGUUGCUCAGCUAUGGAAGCUCCCACGAGCAGAGGUAAGGAGGCAACAACAACAGCUGCUAUGCGCCAGCUCAAUGUGAAAGCAAUAGCACAUGCUGUUACUGUAAGUGCUGCAUUCUGCACAAUUGUUGAGAGUCGGUCCGAAAGAGCACUGCGUACUAAGGUUGCAUCAGCAGAUAAAGCUGAUGUUAGCGAGCCAGUGUUAUUCUCUUCUAAAUCAAACCAGCCAAUCUCAUUGCAAAGGAUAGCUGAGAACAUUGACAAGCGAACGCGAGUGGUGAGACGCUCUCCCAUCAACGUGUAAAAGUAGUGUUGCAGAAGAUAUAUAGGAACGGUAACAACGGCCAAUCCAACAAAAAUAAGAGAUAUCCGUUGAAUCUCAUGUCUCAUUUCAGACGCAUCAUGGGAAUAAAAUGCUGUCAAUACAUGUGUAAUCCCCAGGGCGAACAGAGGAGCUUCCAUGCCAGCCAAAAUUGCACCUAGUGACCCAAGCAAAGCACAAGGCCACUCUGGUGCAUUUAGUUUUAGUAGUUCCAAAAUCGAUGGAGUGGGAGAAUGUUUUUGUAAAGGCAUACCAUCAUCUUUUGAUUGCAGCUCUCUUAUUGAGAUCGACUUAAAAUCCUGCUGGUUGUUUUGGCUGUGGGGAAGUUGUCGAAAGCUAGAAUUCCCAGAAGCUUCAGAACCACCUAUUGAAUUUGACCGUGUUGGAUGUUCUGAAACUUGCAAGCUCACAAGAGUUGCAUAGUCUCCUCCCUUUGUUAUCAAGUCUAAAUGGCUCCCACUCUCAGCAACUUGACCAUUCUUCAAGACAAUGAUGGUAUCAACAUCUCGAAUUGUUGAUAGGCGGUGUGCAACAAUAAUUGUAGUCCUAUUUGACAUGAUUUUAUUCAGUGCCUGCUGAACAAUGAAUUCUGAUUCUGCAUCAAGAGCACUAGUAGCCUCAUCAAAAAGUAAUAUCUUUGGGUUUCUCAACACUGCUCUUGCUAUAGCGAUUCUUUGCUUUUGUCCACCAGAGAGCUGAGUUCCUCCUUCCCCCACCUGAGUAUGAUAGCCAUCAGGUAAUUGUUGGAUAAAAGAAUGUGCAUUAGCAGCUUUGGCAGCUUGAACAAUCUUAUCCAUAUUUGCAUCUUCUUUACCAAACAGAAUGUUGUCAGCUAUGGUUGUGGCAAAUAAUGCAGGUUCCUGGCUCACCAAUCCCAUCUGUUCUCUCAGCCAUUUCAACCGAAGAGUCUUAAGAUCAUGUCCGUCCAAUAGUAUUUUACCUGAAUUGGGAUCAUAGAAACGUUGAACCAUGGAUAUAACAGUGCUUUUUCCUGAGCCACUGGGGCCGACAACCGCAAAGGUCUUCCCAGCACUUAUUGUAAAGCUCAGAUUUUCAAAGACCUUACUGGGUCGUGAGGGAUAAGCAAAACAGACAUUGGAAAAUUCAAUUUUCCCUUCUACUUUUGGCAAUUCUGAUCCAUGUUCUGACCUUUUAGAAGGGUUAGAGCCUGUUUCAAUCAUGUUAAUGAUAGUGGCAGCCGCAGCCCGACCUUUAGCAAUAGCAGCAAGGUUUGGAGCAGCUUGACCAAGAGCAAAUCCACUAAAAAUGACAUUGAUAAUCAUUGUGAAUGCUUUUGCCCCAUUUGUGAUGUGAUGCCUUACAAGUAUGCUGGAAUACCAGAGAAGCAUUGCCCAGGCACAAAACAAUAGUCCAUAAGUAAAUCCAACACCAACUCCUUUUGCAAUCCCACUUUUCUUCCCCAACUUAAGUGCGCUCGUAAGUGACCUCGAGUAUGCUUCUAUUGCUUUAUGCUCUCCCACAAAUGAAUAUACCGUGCGGAUUUGAGAAAUAACCUCAUCUGCAACCUUCCCAGCUUCAGCAUAUGCCGCCUCACCUUUUUCUGAUAAGGUAGACAUAAUUACAGUAUAAGCUCCCCCAGCAAUAGCUAUCAAUGGAACCACAGCCAAGGUGAGGAGUGUAAGUUGCCACACAGAUGCAAAUCCAAUAGCAAAUCCGACAAUGAAUUGACAAAGGUAGCGUAUGGCAUGGCCUGUCUUGUCACCUAUUGCAUCUUGCACUAGUAUUGCAUCACUGGAUAUGUGAUAUAUGAUGUUAGAAUCUCCUGCUUCUGUGUCAAAAAAAUUCAUGUCCUUUUUUAAUACAGAUUGAAAGUAUUCGAGUCGCAAACGAGCUGUCUGCCUUUCCCCAGUUUGCAUCCAAAACGCUACACCUGAAUGGAGAAUAUUAACAAUGAUGCUAAUUCCUGAGAAAAAGCUAAACAUUUCUCCUGAAAAAGACUGGAAUCAAGAAACAUACCAAUCCAAGCUGAUGCAAAAACGACAAGCCCCAGAUAUACUAAAUACAACGCAUGCUGCAACAAAUGAUAGACUUCAAAUGCUUUCUUUUCAUCCAGAAAAAUGAAAUGCAAGGACUAACAGGCUAGGAUUUGGAAGAUUAACUGCUUGAAUCCCUUAAUUUUAACAAACUAAAGUAACAGAACACAGAGUGAUUUAGUUCAGAUCAUACCCUGGAAACCUGUGAAGACAUUUUGUGAGGAUCCAAAGCUAAAUUUCCAAGAGAAUCAAUCAUACGACCAAAAAAGAUAAAGAAUACAGGAAGAGCAGCACCAUGGAUGCAUGACCCGACACUUCCCAAAAACAUCAAGAAAUAAUCAAUUCUAUCAGCAGCAGAAAAUAAACCAAAGAAAGAAAUACUUGGCCUUUCUUGGUCCAUUUUUGAACGUGAAUUCUGAUCUAAUUCCUGAUCAGAAGCAAGCUCCAACGCUUCCAUGGCGAAAAUUGAUAUCAAAAGUGAAGCAGAAAAGGACAAAUUGAUUCACAAAUAGCCCGUGGAGGAUGAGUAGUCUACUCCCUCCAAUAAAUGUAAAGAUCUAUAUAACUAACUAGCCAACUAACAA
rnacentral:misc_RNA from 1 species